rnacentral:rRNA from 1 species
GUGGGGAAUUUUGGACAAUGGGCGCAAGCCUGAUCCAGCAAUGCCGCGUGCAGGAAGAAGGCCUUCGGGUUGUAAACUGCUUUUGUACGGAACGAAACGGUCCUGGUUAAUACCCGGGGCUAAUGACGGUACCGUAAGAAUAAGCACCGGCUAACUACGUGCCAGCAGCCGCGGUAAUACGUAGGGUGCAAGCGUUAAUCGGAAUUACUGGGCGUAAAGCGUGCGCAGGCGGUGCUGUAAGACAGGCGUGAAAUCCCCGGGCUUAACCUGGGAAUUGCGCUUGUGACUGCAGUGCUGGAGUGCUGCAGAGGGGGAUGGAAUUCCGCGUGUAGCAGUGAAAUGCGUAGAUAUGCGGAGGAACACCGAUGGCGAAGGCAAUCCCCUGGGCCUGCACUGACGCUCAUGCACGAAAGCGUGGGGAGCAAACAGGAUUAGAUACCCUGGUAGUCC